rnacentral:tRNA from 1 species
ACUUAAAUAGUUUAAUAAAAAUUUUGAUUUGUGGUGUCAAAGAUGUAAUGUUUUUACUUUAGGUA